AGAGUUUGAUCCUGGCUCAGAAUGAACGCUGGCGGCAUGGAUCAGGCAUGCAAGUCGAGCGAGAACGCGGGCUUCGGCCCGUUAGUAAAGCGGCGAAAGGGUGAGUAACGCGUGAGCAACCUGCCCCCGACUCUGGGAUAGCCCCGGGAAACUGGGAUUAAUACCGGAUGCGGCCGUUCGACCGAUUGGUCAUUCGGCCAAAGGUCUGCCGGUCGGGGAUGGGCUCGCGUCCCAUUAGCUUGUUGGUGAGGUAACGGCUCACCAAGGCCGAGACGGGUAGCUGGUCUGAGAGGAUGGUCAGCCACACUGGGACUGAGACCCUGCCCAGACUCCUACGGGAGGCUGCAGUCGAGAAUCAUCCGCAAUGGGCGAAAGCCUGACGGUGCGAUGCCGCGUGAGGGAUGAAGGCCUUCGGGUUGUAAACCUCUGUCAGAAGGGACGAAGAAUGUGACGGUACCUUCAGAGGAAGCCACGGCUAACUACGUGCCAGCAGCCGCGGUAAGACGUAGGUGGCGAGCGUUAUUCGGAUUUACUGGGCGUAAAGGGUCCGUAGGGGGUUUGCCAAGUCUGGUGUGAAAUCCUCCGGCUCAACCGGGGGCGUGCAUUGGAUACUGGCGAACUUGAGUCCGGAAUGGGAGAGCGGAAUUCCUGGUGUAGCGGUGGAAUGCGUAGAUAUCAGGAAGAACACCAGCGGCGAAGGCGGCUCUCUGGUACGUGACUGACCCUGAUGGACGAAAGCGUGGGUAGCAAACAGGAUUAGAUACCCUGGUAGUCCACGCUGUAAACGUUGUGCACUAGAUGUGGGGAGUACUUUGGUCCUCUCCGUGUCCCAGCUAACGCGAUAAGUGCACCGCCUGGGGACUACGGCCGCAAGGUUAAAACUCAAAGGAAUUGACGGGGGCCCGCACAAGCGGUGGAGCAUGUGGCUUAAUUCGAGGCAACGCGAAGAACCUUACCUGGGUUUGACAUGUACAGGACCGCCCUCGAAAGGGGGUUUUCUCUUCGGAGACCUGUUCACAGGUGCUGCAUGGCUGUCGUCAGCUCGUGCCGUGAGGUGUUCGGUUAAGUCCGGCAACGAGCGCAACCCAUGUCGUCAGUUGCUACCGGGUAAUGCCGGGUACUCUGGCGAGACUGCCCGUGUCAAGCGGGAGGAAGGCGUGGAUGACGUCAAGUCCGUAUGGCCCUUACAUCCAGGGCUGCACACGUGCUACAAUGGGCGGCACAAUGGGACGCAAGACCGCGAGGUGGAGCCAAUCCCCAAAACCGUCCUCAGUUCGGAUUGGAGUCUGCAACUCGACUCCAUGAAGCUGGAAUCGCUAGUAAAGGCGUAUCAGCUACGACGCCUUGAAUACGUUCCCGGGCCUUGUACACACCGCCCGUCACAUCAUGGAAGCCGGCUGCACCCGAAGUCCGCGGUCCAACCCCUCGGGGAGGAAACGGCCGAAGGUGUGUCCGGUAACUGGGAUGAAGUCGUAACAAGGUA
rnacentral:rRNA from 1 species